rnacentral:lncRNA from 1 species
UGGGUCGCGAAAGUACUCCAAAAUAAACUUAAAUCCCAAAUAACCAAAUUCUCAACUUCGACAAGGUCAGGGCACAAAAAUAUUCCCAAAUAAACUUAUCCCAAAUAACCAAAUUCUCGACGUAAAUGCUUGAAAAUAUCCACGGUGAAGUGUAUAAACAAGGAGGUUCAAGAGCCUCCGUUGAAAAUCUUGACUGUCUCUCUACAUCCUUCCCAUCUCCAGAUCUUGGGCUAUAGGGCGGCUAAGGCCCGCGCUGCUCGAGCCAGGCUGCUUAGGGGUGAGCAUGGUCCGGGUUGGUCUGGGCCACCCCCUAACCCUAGGACCAACCCGUACAGUGUCGGUCCUCAAUUUUUAGGACCGAGGACCGACCCUAUUGAGCUUGGGAUCAAGAACCGGACCGACCCAAUGGGUUCGGUCCGGUUCCAGGGUCAACCUAGGACCGAUCGAUAAAUUUUUUCAUCUUAUUUUUUAUGCUCCCUAAAAAAGCAAACCUACAAAUUCAAAUUACACAUCUAUCGACAAUGCGGCAUUAUGCAACUAAAUUAUAAAUACCAAUACAUAUUUAGCAAAUUUAAGAUGACAAAAUAAUAUAAAGUUCUUGUUAUCAUCUAUCUUUAAUAUUCAUAACACCAUAUGCAAAAACGUUUUCCUGCAUUCGAUCAUAUAAAGUCCACUCAACCAAAAAAUGAACUUCACAUCACUGGACUAGCAAAUCACCGUAGCAACUGCAGUACUACUCUACUCUUCAAAAACUUAUACCAUUUGACACAAAUUAAAAAGCAAAAUGCAGCUGAAAUUCAUUAGUAAAAUACAAUGAAACCAUAAAAAGUUCAAAAUACUUAAUAUAAACCAUGAAUAUAUAACUUCACAUCUUGUUAAUUCAUUUGUUAAUUCAUUUGAACUUCUAAACACUUGAAAACAAAACAAACAACACAUAAUUAAUACUCAACAAAAGUUUUAAAUUGAAAUUACUAUUAGUGCUAUUGAUAGAACAUCUCAAUAUAAUAUAAUAUAACAGACAUUUUACUUAAGUUUGAAUAUAUAAAAGAAUUACAAAUAAUAUAAUAUAAUAUACAUGGUUGGUUUAGGGUUGGACCGACCCAAAACUCUUAGGACCGAGGACUAACCUGUACAGUUUCAGGACCAAGGACUGAUCCAGUCCCCUUGGGAACCAGACUAGGACCGGCAGGGUUGGGCCGGUCUAGGGUCGGUCCAGGGUCGACCCUAGACCGCUGCUCACCCCUAAGGCUGCUGCCGUGUUCUGGCAUCUUUUUGGACUUUUCGAGGCCUUGACCACAGUCUGAGCAAUCCCCGCUCCCGGGUUUGGCGGUUUCCUAGCCCACAUUUCAUCCCACCAAUAAGGUCAGAAAGAGGCAGAUCUCCUUCGAGGGCUCGAACAAUCUGCUCAAUUUUUUCAAAAGCUGAUUGUCACAAUUCCUAUUUUCAAUAACCUCACAUAUCUUAAAUGAGCUAGACAUAGAGUCAGUGAACAAAAAGAAACGUCUUUAGUCAUGAAUGUAGCAAGUGGCAUAAAUCUAUUAAAGAAAGAUUAAGCUCCAGGUACUAAAUAUAUUACCUUACUCAUCUUCGGUCGACACUCCCCCGAAGGAAGCACACAAGCGGCAGCGCAUCGGACCAUACGAGCCAUCUCAACGCGGUCGUAAUUUUGCAGCCCAGGAUCAACAAGAGAGUCGAAUUUUCCAUCUUCCAGAUAUCGUGUGAGCUGAGGCCUCACCUGUAAUGAACAUAACAAUGACUCUAUCCCAAUAUUGCACUUGGAUGAUUAAAAAAAACCACGUAUAAAUUCGAAUCCCCUCCAGGACCCAAGAAAAAAAAAAGAGGGAGUAAUAGGUAGCUUGGGCUAUUAUUGUGAACACAAGAAUUGCACGACUUACCGAAUUAACCAGACUAACGCCCAUAUUCAUAGCCCUGCGACCAGUAAUCAACUCCAAGAGCACGACCCCAAAAGAGAAAACGUCCGAUUUUUCUGUUGAAUUCCCACUCGAAAGGUAUUCUGGAUCAAGGUACCUCCAAAGAAGAACAUAGACUGUGCUUCAACAUAUUUGAACAGAGACAUAUUUGGGCUAGUCAAGCAAAAGAAGUACCUAAAAGGCUGUGCUUCAACAAAUGAAGCACAAGGAACGAGGGAGCAAUGGCUCAUUUUACUAACACUUGGAAACAUCUAAGACAGAUUAAUAACAAGCUCACAUUACAGUCCUCCGAAUCAAAAUACUAAUGGAGCAAAUCUUACCCAAUGGUGCCCUUCACAUUGGUAGACACAUGACUAUUUGCAUCAGGAGUAAAUUUUGCGAGUCCAAAAUCCGCAAUCUGAGAGAGAAAAGCAUUCAGAAUUCAGAGGGGGUGCAAUCUACUUGCUCUAACAGUUAACCAACUGAAGUCGGAAAUAUCAAUGCCGACUUUUAAUUUCAUCCAAAAAGUUUGCUUAUACCUUUGCCUUGAAUUCAAGGUCCACAAGUAUGUUAGCUGCCUUGAUAUCCCGAUGUAUGAUGAUAGGAUCACCUGCACAAGGAAUGUUUCCCACAUAUACAAAAGCUCUGAUUCACAGUCUUAAUUAACUAUUGAUUCAAUAAAGAUGAAAGGCAAAAGUACAUCUGAAACUUACAACCCUCAUGAAGAUAUGCUAGUCCUUCGGCAGCCCCCAAAGCUAUUUUCAGUCUACUUGGCCAAUUAAGGGUCGGUUGUUCCUCUCCUGCAACGGUCACUUUCCAUCAGAAUCCUUUCCAUUAAACGCACAAAGCGCCAAGUUCUCUGAUUUAGGGCAUCCAGGUCCCAUCUAGGUUCACCUGGAACCCAUCCAGUCAGAACCAGCUCCUUGAUUUUUGGAACCUAAAUCCUACCUUGCUGCCUUGAAACCUACCCAGUCGAUCAAUUCAAGUCUACCCGGCUAGGGGUGAGCAUAUUGGAUCGACUGAAUCGGGAACCACCUAGACCGGACCAGCCGGUUUGGUCUAGCUCCUAGGGGCAUCGGUCCAAUUUUUGGUUCCAUAAAAACAGAAUCGGUGAUUUUCGGUCUAGUUCCUAAUUCCAAAGGGAACCAAGAACCAGACCAAUUCUUUUUUUUUUUUAAAUACAUAUAUAUAUUUUUUAAAUUAGCAAUAAACUUUAAAAUAACAACUAUAGAAAAGUUAUAGUUUUUUUUAAAAAAAAAAUUAAUAGUCCGGUUGGUUCCUUAGUCCCAAAAAUUGGGAACCGGUUUGAUUCUUGGUUCUUAGGUGAAAUCGGACUGGACUAGGAACCAAUCACCUCUAAUAUCCGAACUAGGAACCAAUCACCCCUAAUACCCGAACUAGGAACCAAUCACCUCUACUACCCGGCAACUGUUUUUUUUUGUUUCUUUUGGUUCUUCCUUUUCUAUUGUUUUAUUUUUAGUUAAACAAAAUGAAAGUAAAUGCAACAACAGAAAUCUCCACUGAUCUCCAUUUGCAAUAAUGAUGAUCUACAAAAGAUGAACACGUACUGCCACCCUCAGCGGUGUAGCUGGCUUGGGCUCUCUCCCCCUCACGAAGAGGAGAAGUUCAAAUCCCAGAGACGUCGUUAGGGAUUCUUACCUGGAGUACUGUGGUCGUGGGUCUUGGAGUCGCUCUCCCAGGGUUUGCUUGCCAGCUGUCGGCUGACGGAAUUCCCUGUGUUACCAAAAAAAAAAUGAACAUGUAAAAUAAAAUAAAUGAUAAAAAGUUCAAAACAAAUAACAUAAAACAUAAAUCAUAAAAUCAAUUCCUGAUUUGAUCGACUCUUAUUGGAGAAUUGAGCCACAUAGUACCAAUUUCACUUUUUUUUUAGCCAAAAACCAAAUGGUAACUGAAAAAAUCAGGACCUGGACCGGUUACUGUAGCCCAUCCGGUUCGAUUCCUAGUUCUAUUCUAGAUCCAUGUCACCCCUAUUCUGAUUAGUUGUCCUUUUCUCUUUUCACAUAACCCUCAGUGCUAAGACUGAUAAAGAAAGAGGGGGCAGUAUGUAAGAUCGUGGCGUGAAUUGGUACUGAAAAUCCAAACUCACCAUGUAAGUGGAACUCCAAGGUUUUGUUAGGCACCAACUCGUACACGAGGAUGCGCUCGGACCCGGUUGUACAGUAUCCAACCAAAGACACGACAUGCUUGUGAUGGACUCGGCUUAUUAUUUCAACCUCAGUCAGAAACUCACGUUCUCCCUGGACGCUCCCCACCUUCAGUCGCUUCACUGCUACAUCUUUUCCGGAGGAAAGGACUCCGCGGUACACGUGCCCAAAACUACCUUCUCCAAGUAGAUUUGCCCCUGAGAAGCCAUUAGUCGACUUCUCUAAAGCGUCAAAAGGGAAAUGGUGCCCGCUGACACCGAGAUCAUUGCUAGAGGACGUGGAGCAAAGCCACCAUCCCUUUUUCUUGCAACGUAUUAACAGCAAGCCCACCCCCACCACGACCGCCACCCCCACCCGCACCACGAUCGCCUCUGCCGAUAUGGUGCGCGGAGGGGACCCGGAAGAAGCUGACGGUAGAGGAAAUGCCGAGGUGGUGGUGGCGGCCAGAGGCGGCACAGUGGUGUUGGUCCCUGCCGGUGAAGACAGCGAGGAGACCGGAAGUGGAGUUGACAUUGCUGUCGAGAAAAAAAAAAAUUGGCUGAAACGGGGAAACAGAUACUCAGAGAGAGAGAGAGAGAGAGAGAGUGCGUGAGAGAGUUGAAAGAUAUAAUCAGCGGGAGAGAGCAAUAUGCUCACGUAGAAAUCUAUGGUAAGUCAUGUAGACACUAAUAUGCUCACCACAGAAUUAAAUAAAGAUCAGCGAAAAGUACCCAGCGAAAGUUCAAUUAAUUUGGGUUCUGAGUUAUCAAAGAUUACAAUGAUUAGGUGGUCCGUUAUCUCUCUUAAUCGACAAUUCUGGGAUAUUUUAGUAUUAGUUUGACAAAGAUGCAACCAUUAAAGAUAAAGCUCGAGCAUUCGGUCACUUUUUUUUCUGUUUUUCCAGCUAGUGGGAAACAUCUGAAAGUGAACCUACUUUGUAAGCUCGACACAUAAGUCGAUAGCAUGCCUCACUUCAACUCUAGUGUUUAGCGCCAAAUCCUAUACAUUCUCCAGAGGAAGAGUCAACCCUCGGGAUGUUGCAUACUAAAAUGUGUCCAUAUUGCCAUGAAAUAGUCUUUGAUAGCUAUGCUUCAAAAAUAUUAUAGAUUAUUAUACGAUCCCUUCCUAUCUCAAUUACAAGAUUCCAGAAGCCCGUCGUUAAUGUUCUAAUUGACAAAACUUACCGCUAGGCUUUUUCUUUUUCCCCAUUCUAUAAAGCAGUCGAACUCGAUACUUUAUCCCUCGUGUGUGGUUGCUUAGCUACGUGCUUUGAGCUCCCGAAGAUACAAGGCUCGAAUCUGUUAUGAGCCAAAUAUCUCAAGUCAAAGCAUGCAGAUUUGUUCAAAAAAAAUAUGGUAUAUUCAUUAUACUUUCAAAUGCAUGAAUGCGAUAAUCGCUCUCAGAGUUAACCAAUUGAGGUCCAAAACAUCAAGGCGGACUCUUUUUAAGUAUAUAUCAAAUAUGUUUGUUUUUACCUUGGACUCGAAUUCGAAGCCACAAGUAAAUUAGCUCCCUUGAUAUUAGGAUGACCUGCACUGGGAACGUUUCUCGUGUAUAAUACAAGAGGAAAGCUCUAGGAUUCACAGUUGUAGUCAAUUAUUGAUUCAAUAAAAGACGAAAGGCAAAAGUAAAUUCUAAACUUACAAUCCUCAUAAGCAUGUGCUAGUCCUUCGGGUCCUGAGAACGAAAGAAAAACAGCUCCUGAAAAAAAGAGAGGGAGGAAAAAGGUGAAGGCUCUGACCAAUGGGACAAGGGUAACGUGAGAAUACAGGAAUCUCGUUACUCCUUAUGCAUUUUCACUCGUCCACCUAUAUAAGAUGUUCGCUGAUUAACAAUGUCGACGUCAGAUAUGUAUCCAAUCAUAUCUACCUAUAAGUUAACCCGUGUUCAGUCUAUCACCUCAACCAAGCAGCAAAACCCUUCCCCCCAACUCAGGAUCCGGAGGCUGUGAUGGGAGAUCGUCGUGCAAAGAUGCAACCGUCUAGAUCUUUCAUUUUGGCAGGGCAGGGCUCUAUAUACGUUCUACAUAGACGUAAGUUAAAAAAAGAAAUAGUGAACAUAAACAAUAUGGAUUGAGAUUUAGAUCCUUCCCAUUCAGAGGUAAAUCGGCAUCUUUUAUUUACUUUCGCUGAGUAGAUCAUAACUAAGGGUACCCCAUAUAUUCAAAGGCCACAACCACUUUAACUCGUUGACCACACAGGAUAUCUAAGCAGACACAUCGAAGGAAAUUCCAAGUUUCACAAUCCCCAAUCUCUCUCGCCAUGCAAAUACCAACAGCCAGCCACUGCCGCUUGGCACCGCUGUCAUCAAUGUCGGCGCUGUUCUCGUCCUCUCUCACUGGUGGCGGGGUCGGACAACCUUAGGGCCAUAGCUGGAUCUGGCAUAGCAGCGAGUGCAUUUCCAGAACUUAGAAUAUGCUAACCUAACUUAGAAAAUGCUAACCUGUGUUGGGCUAAGUGCCUUAUAGUAUUUGCCUCGACCUCUCUUUAAAGAUAUAAAAAUAAAUAUCCCGGGGAACGAAAAAUGGGUGAUUUGGAAAAAUUCUUCCGAAAUGUUUGUCGCCUGAAGAAAUCUAUGUCUAACUAUUUCCAUAAGAAAAUGAAGGAAAAAAAAUUCCAUUUAUUUAAACUUUUAAAGCUAUUAUUUUUUCGGAAAAUCUUUUCCAAACCGCUGGUUUCAACUAAACGCUAAACACGAGAACCCCAAAAAGUGGCUUCCCGCAAAGUGGUUGCCGAACGGAGGCAGAGAAAGAGUACGGCAAAGGGGUUGCCAAAGGCAGAGGGAGGCCAACAUGCUCACCAUGUAUGUGGAAGUCCAAGGUGUUGUUAGGCACCAACUCGUGCGUGAAGUAUCCAAACCAUAGACACGGCAUACUGGUGAUGAACUCGGCUUCAUUAUUUCAACCCCAGUCAGGAACUCACGCUCUCCCUGUCCGCUCCCCAACCUUCAGUCGCUUCCCUGCUACCACCUCUUCUUUCCCGGUGGUAAGGACUCCGCGGUUUACGCGCCCAUAACCCCCUUCUUCUCCGAGCAGAUUUACCUCUGAAAAGCCGCCGCUGGGAACCUCUGAAAAAGGCCUUGCCGUUGCCGAAAGAAUGGCUCAGGAUGAAGUGCCCAUUGACUAAAGUAUUGAUGCCGGGCAGUGCGCGGCGCUUGGCAAGAGACGGUGCGAGGCACGCAUAACCCGAGGCUCUCCCUUUGCCGAUCACAUACAGGAACCUUGAGAGAGAAAGAACCCUUCUUUCUUUUUCUUUUAUACUGGAAAUGGAAAAUGAGAGGGUGACCAGCCCCCGCAAGUUUUCUCACGGAAUCCGAAAUCCUUUCUUGAGAAGAAGAGAUCUCUUCUUUCCUUUACAUCGAAUAUCACCAGAUCACCUCUCCCAAGAAGACGUAUUAGAAGAGGUGGAAGAGGCGAAGAAGAUAAGGCCCAUGGGAAACUUGGUAAGAUCACAAUGGUUGAUUAAAACUUGAUAACGACAGCGCUAGUGGCCACUAGCGCUGUCAAGCCACUAGCGCUGUCGUUAUCAAAUCUAAUCAACCAUUGUCUAAAUCUCAAUCAACUAUUGUCCAUCAAUUAUCGUCCAUGAUUUAGACACUAGUUGAUUGAGACUUGAUAACGUUAGGGUAACCCUAUUGCUAUCAACCAUUGUCCUGGUGGUCCCACUUGUCAAUAUCUUGAUAAUAUUAAGGGAUAAUACCUUAAAAAAUCCCAAACUGGUAUACUUGUAACAAAUUUACAUGGAGAAAAUGCUGUCUACGUUUCACACUCCAACAUGGAAAAUAAGAAAGCAACAAAACGCGACACCUGCCGGUGUGGUCCCACUCCAUCAGGCGAGGAGAAAAUAUUCAGUCGUUUGUGCGCGCCACGUCAUCCACUAACGUGGCACAUACAAACCACUCACAUACCAACACCUGUCUCGAGCGGGACCCCUCGAAAAUGAGAAAAGAGCUCAUUUUCGGCUGGCUCAGCUCGGCUCCUACAGAAGAAAGGACGGUCAGCGAUUCCUCAGCUCAAAAUUUUUCUCUCUCCUCACUUGAAUGGGCGAGUUCUCUCUCUCCUCGUAAAAUAACCAAGAAUGCUCAGAGCCUUCCUCUGUUUCUUCUUUGCGCAUCCCACCUCUCUCCGCCUUUGCCUCCGCCUUUGACUCCGCCUCCGCCUGUCCAAAAGCCUCGCUCAUCUGCCUCUAUCACGAGCGGCAGCAGGCUCGCCGCCGCUGACCGAGCGUUGUCCCUAAUGCUGGCCCGCUCGGAACAAUUCAAUAUUUUAGAGAGCAAAAAUCACUGAAAACUCUAAGUCAUAUUUGCCUCUAUUUUUUUUCAUUUGCACCUGAUACAUUUAUAUCAAAAAAUUCUAUGACAUAAAAAACUAUAAACUUUGAGAUUAAAUAUGUCGCAUAAGCAUAAGGUUGGAGUUUUUACCUUUAUAAAAAAAAUAAUCUAAGGUAAUAAUGUCAUACGAGUAUAAAUUUUGAGAUUUUUUAUCUCACGGUUAAAAUUUAAGGUAAAUGUGUUGUAAUUGGCAUAGUUUAGAUCUUUUUUGUGACUUUUUUUUUUCUCUAUUUUGGAAGUUCGCUUUUGAUGGCUCUAUUAACAUGUUGCUAACCUAUAACAAGUUAUAGUUAUUUGAUCUAUUUUAGGCAAUAAAUAAUAUAAUUUUUAUGAGAAAAUAUUUGGAUUUCCCCUCUAUUUACUCAUGCAUCAUAAUGAGACAUAGAGAAAAUAAUUAAAAAAAAAAAAAAAGACGCCGCCCACAAAAGCCUUAGAAGGUGGAUGUGAAUCGGGAAUUCUUUUAUUUAUUCCCCAAUUUUAUGCAAAAAAAAAAAAAUGAGCAAUUUCCUUACGUUAGGAGUUUUGGAUAUUAUCCUAUUUUGAGAGCCUAGGGGGGACGGCUAGGUUUUACUUUUAGAUUGUUUUUUCAUUGUUCUUAGAGUUUUUCAAGUAAUUUGAAAAAAAAAAACGAAAAGCAAUGACAAAAUACUUAUUAUUUGAUUCAAGAUGUUGGGUCUAUUUAAUAUUUUCAUGUUUUCUUCUAUUAUGUUCUAAUUUUCUUUUGUUAAGGUUACGAUGUAGUUUCAUUAUAAUGAUAUGAAUUUUAGGCUUUUGUGCUCUGUAAGUAAUUUCAUUUAUGUGAAUUAUAUAUUACUGUGCUUAAUACUUUUAAGUGAGCAACCGCCAUUUUUUUUUUGGUCAAACUAACCGCCAUUUAAAUGAUAUAAUAUGUAUGUUCGAGACUGAAAAGCGAUGAUGUGUGAUUACUCAUUAUAAUAUAUAACCAUAAAUUAAAAAUGGAUAGAGGUAUACCAUAUUAUUCAUGUGGCUUUCGAUGAUAAGGUAAUCCAAAAUAUUUAUUAUAAACUUGAAAUAUUAACAUAUUUUAGUGCACUUAUGUUUAAUUAACUUCAUAUAGAGAUAUUAUGGAUUUAUAAAUUGGGUAGGUUUGAUAUGUUUAGAGGUGGGGUAAUAAAUAAAUAAGGAAGUUUUGCUAUCGCAUAUUUAAUGUUCCGAAAUUUUGCUUAUAAGAUUGUUAAUUUUAAUAUAUUCUCAAUUCUAUUUUGAUAUACUAGGUAAAUUUUAGGAUAAGUCCACUUUUAAUAUUUAAUUGGUUUAUUAAUCAUCAAUAUUUAUGAGAUGAUAUUAUUUAUCAUCAUUAUAAUAUUUUUUCUAACAAGUGAAUUGAUAUGUUCAUUUGCAUCUAGAAUUUAACAAUAAAGCCAUUCACUAAAAUGCUUUUCAUCAAGGGGUUUUGUCAUUUUCGUGCGUUUUGUGCAUUGUGUUGUUGAGAGCAUGCAAGGAAACAUAGCCAACUGUGUUCGCAUAAAAUACUUUCAUAGGUAAAUACCGAUCGGUCUCUCCGCGACAUGCUUUAAACUAAGGGAAAAAGUCACUAAAAUUCUCAAAUUUUACCCAUUAUAAUACAUUUAUUCGAAAUUUUAUUUGUAAUAUCAAAAAUAAAAAAUUAUGUCGACCGAGACACAUUUAUCAUUUUUUUUUUACAUAAGAAAAUAUUUUUCAACAAAAAUAACGUCAAUUUUUAUAUCACUAAGUUAUUUGAGCAUCAUGUCAAUACCGUUCGUUUUCCGAUGUCCAAGUAGGCAUAUUUUUAACGAAGCUCAUUGAUGGAACUUUGAUGGAUGGGUGAAUGUGUCACACAAGAACACAUUUGAGAUUUAUUGUGUUAGAGUAAAUGUGUUAUAGUGGGCAUAAUUUGGAAUUUUUUUGAGGAUUUUGGCCUUUAACUAAUGUGAGAACUUUUUGUGUUCUCGUUGUUAGACGUGAGCCAGAUUCUCAUCCUUCUAUCUAGAUAGAGGAUGUGUCGAUUUUAUAAGCGUUUGGCCAAGAUCUUACGCGCACGUGAUCCUCUUCGCCCUACGAUUCAGACCUUCUGAAUCUGUGAUCUCGUGUACACUUUACUUCGCAUAUCAAUAAAUAGCUACCUCCGUUGCUCUUCGAGCUCAAAUCCUAAAACCCAAAGCGGGCUCCCACAAUUGCUUUCUGAAAUCCGACCGUAUUUGUGCUGUCUUCCAAUGAUAAGACUCCAUUUCCAUGGGCCAAAGCCCCGAUUCGUUUUUCUUCAGUCACGUAGACCAAUUUGGGUAAUCAAGUCACAUGGGCUACUGAGGAAAAAAGAACAUUCGGACCUCGUUGGGUUCAAUGACAACACAAAUGGAGCAAAAUCGGCCAGAAGAUGUGCUCAAGCCCAAUAUCACCUUUUGCGAUUUAAGGCCCAAAUUAGGUUGGUUUCACGAUGCUUUGAGCUAGAAAAAGGACAAAAAAGGUGGCUUACAUAACUAGCUAGAGCCACUUAAUAAGAACACGAAUGAUAACUAUUAUACUUCAGAAAGUAAUUUUUUCCAGUAUUUCUAUUUUCUGGAUGUGUUUUUGAGUAAAAAUAUACGUUUAAUAACAAUAUAAAUUUUCGAUUCCUAGAGUAGAAAUUCGUUUGUAACAACACAAAAUUUAUCAUUCUUAAGCGACGGCAAUAAGUUGUCGGUUGACUAGUAAUGAGGGCAAACGAUAAAAGAGUUUAUCUUUAUCAUUUCUAUUACAAAAAUAGAGAAGUGAAAAAAAUUUUACUUCUUAUUUCUAUUUCAAAUUUAUUUUUGGAUUAAAAAAUUAUCCUAGAAAAAAAAAUUCUAUUCCAAACUUGUUAUCAAUAUCAGAAAAAUAAUUUUGGUUGGAAAUAAUAUUGUUAUCAUGCACAUUCUAUAUAAUCUUAAACUUGUCACGAAGAGUUUAAGCUUGAUAAUAUGAGAAAGUGACUUGUACCUAACCCCUUUUUCUAUUAGGCUUUCAAGUCACUUAGUAUUCUUACGACACAAUAACUUGUGUUGAUUCAUGUCAUCAUGAUACUUCACAAUCUAUUAUGGAUCAAUGUCUCCAUGACAAAUCAAUCAAGUAUUUUCAUUCAUCAUGGAUUCCCACAUAACAAGAUCGAGUUGGUUGCCCGUUAUAACUCUGUUGUUAUACAUCCUUCCUCGAUUCAUUUAGGGACUUUUGGGAGCGAUUUUGCAGCCAUUGAGAGCUCUAAGCUUGCGUAUUGCCUCCAACUCCAAUUACCAUCCCGUCCUCCAAUUGCUGCCAAUAGCAGAGCACUGACCUGAGAUAUAACAUCGAGUAUGCUGAAUACGGCUGCUUGUCCCAUCAUACCCUCUAAACUUUAUUCUGCUUAUUCUUAUUCCUCAUGUACAAAACUAAGAACCUUCCCUUGGUACGAGAAAUCACAUGUGAACCCACCAAAGAAUGCAUUUGGUUUAUCUUUCUUAUUCCUGAGAGUCCCUGAGAAAAAAUUAGGAAUAUCGGUGAACUUUUUUUUUUUGUUGGGGACCAUUUUGGGGAAAUGCAAGCAAGCUAAAAGUCUAAGGAAAAUCCCCACUUGCCGCCUUUGGGCACCUUCAGAAGGCAUCUUUUAAGGUUAAUGAACUUUUUUCUUCCUAAAUUGCCCCCACUAAUACUUGUAUAUUCUAGUCUUGCCCUAGCUUGUGACUGUUCUUCUCGUCUGACUGUAGAAGUUCUACUAUGCUUAGGUCUCCAGUGAAGGUCGCCGUGCUUGGGUCUUCGCCUAGUUCAUCUUCUUGGACAUCAAGCUCGCUCUUGACUAUUAGGCGAAAUCUUGAGGUCACGCAUCGCUCAUGGUUGAGAGUUGAUGGUUGUCGAUGGUCAAGCGUUGACGCGAUCCGGGCACAGCCCCACUGAGGUUGCAUUAGGAGUGUGCAAAAUACCCGGGAACCGCCUGGACCGCUCGGAACCGGAUCGGAAUCGCUCGGAACCAGCGGUUCUUGAGGUAACCGGUCCGGUUCCCGGUUUCAAUUUUUCGGAACCGGUGGGUACCGGUUCGGUUCCUGGUUCCAUGGGCGGAUCCACUCACCCGAACCGGACCGAAACCUUUUUAAUAUUAAAAAAAAUUACUAAAAGAAACCCUAGAUUAGAUCUCAUUUCCUCACUUCCUUCGUCUUCGGUUCUCUCUCUCUUUGUCUCUUCCUCGAUUCCUCCUAAUCCUAUCGCCAUUUUGAUUCCUCCUUGAGCGUCGAUGCUGCCGCCGCUGUUGUUCGCCCCCUCGCGUUGGCUGCCACCCGCCACAAUGACGGAAAAUUGUUCUUCGACCGUUCUAUGUUGAAAACUCAACCAUAGACCUCCUCCCCUCCUUCUCAACACAUAGACCCGACCGUUCUACGUUGAAAAUCAAAAUUGUUUCACAUCAAGAUCAGUUCCAUGGAUCCACCCGGAAACCGGACUAGAUCAACGGUCCGCUUCCCGGGUGGAUCCAUGCAACAAACGGAUGGAUCCCGGUUCCAUUUUUCGAAAUCGGUCCUUAGCGGGCAGUUCCCGAUUCUAGGUUAGGAACCGCCCGCCCGGACCAUGCACACCCCUAGGUUGCAUGAUCUUAGAGCCCUCUCCUAGGCUCGCAACGGCCCUCUGAGCCCUUGCUUCAACCCUUAUAGAUGAUGAACAGUAGCUCCAUUUAUUUAUUUUAAAAAAAUUAAGUUAUUUUGCCAAAAAUUACACCAAAAAUCAAUAACCAAAGAAAAUAUACCUUAAGCCAAAGAUCUUUGAAGAAAUGAAGGUCAAUCAAACGCAGCUUAGCUCCUUUAGACCUAUCACAUGGCAUGAGGCGCCUGAAUUUGCAGGGAUUGCUCUCUUAUCUUCAUACUUCAUUUCCAACUCAGUCCAAUUGAGCUUGUUCACUAUGUGCAAUCUUCCAAAUUUGCUUUUUAUUUCCAAAUCCAUUAACGUCAUUCCAUAAUAAUCUAGUCUUGUUUUUUUCUUUUCAUUUCCCGUAAUUUGUGCUUGGGAGGAGGCGGAAAGAGUCUUUGACGUUUAAUAACGGAGUUUAAAUCUGAUUAAUACCCGAACUUCUUCCUUCCAAGAUCUAUCCCUUUGCCCCAUUUUUUUUUUCCUAUCACGAAUACAGAGACAAAUCUCUGUCGAUGGCCACCUCCCCAUCGAUCAAAUCUUGAAACUUUGACAAACUUCCUUCUUUUACUCCACACAAGUGUGAACAUGCCAAGAUUCCUCCCUCGAGUAAUCAGAAGAUAAUAGCUCUAUAAAGCAUCUAGACGGCAUCUUGCGCAGCUCUGAGGAACCCUAUUCGCAUGCAGGUGUCGCCAUGCAUGGCGACUCACCUGCCCGUUGCCUUGUCCAUGAUGGCGUUUCGAAAGGAGAAAGAACAUUUGAAAAAUCAACAAAAUGAGGAGUUUGCUGUCGUGUUUGAGUGGAUUUUUGUGUUGGGUCCGCAUCUCAAUCCAGUGCUGAUCGCCAUCAAACCACUUUCCCAAUCAAGUUAUUGACUUGGGACGCUAACGAUAUGCUUUUAAGCCAUCGCGCAGACUUUCACGUUUCUCAUUUCCCGAUAUUGAACCAAUCCCCUCCUGGUUCGUGCAAGAGAAAAUGUGUCGAUAUUACUUUCAUAGUGUUUGCUGAAAUCUCAUGUGCAUGUGGUUUUUCUCUUCGUCUUAUGAUUUAGACCUUUUGAAUUCAUAAUCUUAUGUACAUAUACUCAAAGCUUGCCUAUCGGUAGCUCGAAAACACAGGUUAAGAAGUAGUUGAUUACCCCUAUUGCUCUUUGAACUCAAAUCCUACUAUUUCGAAUCCUAAAACUCAAAGCUGCUACCCAAAUUGCUUUACGAAAUCCAAACAUAUGUGCUGUCUUCCAAUGAUAAGACUCCAUUUCCACGAGCCAAAGCCCCGAUCUGUUCUUCGCCAGUCACAUUGACCGAUUCGAGUGAUUGAGUCGCCUAGGCUACUGGGCAAAGAAGGACAUUCGGACCAUGUUGGGUUCAUUAGCAACACGAAUUAGGCAAAAUCGGCCAGAAAAUGUGCUCUAUCCCAAUUUUACUUUUUGCUAUUUAAGGCCCAAGUUAGGGUGGUUAAUUUCUUUGAAUUAUAAGUGUUAAAUUCUUUAGACAAAAAAAAGAAAAAAAAAAAGAAAAGGUUAACAGUGAUAUACCGCACCGAAUUUGUCGGGAGAAAUAAUCUUGCUUAGUUCUCUUGCAUUUGACCUGGGUCUAAUUGAAUAUUUUAAGAUUUAGGUACUAGUUUGAGAAAGACACAAUCUUUAGAGAUAUGAUUGGGCAUUUGGUUAUCUAAAAAAACAUACAUAUAUAUAAAUAUGACCCUUUUGAAUGGGAGUCGAGGGAAAACGGGAUUAGUGGAAAUGUCGAGUUGGACCAAUGAUCCUCGAUCAGCGUGGGUUCUCCAAACCAUUGUCUCAUGUUGGCCAAUUCAUUUUAAUUUAAUUAACCUAGAAGAAUUCAGAAAAAUUGUCUAAAAUAUCAUAAAUCUAUUGACUUCAACACCUUUCAAUUUCACCUAUAGAGUCCUCAACCUUUUUUAUUUUUUGUCAAUUGAGUAUAUUCAGCCAAUUUUGGUUAGAAAUCAUUGAUAUGGACACUGGCUGUCUUACAUAGCAUAGCGGCGCUAAUGUGAACAAUUUUUAAAAAUGUUUUAAUGUUUUUUUAAUUAGUUAUUCAUUUUUUUAUUUUCUCCUUUUCUUCUUUCCUUUUUCCCUUUCCCCCUCUGCCAGGCCUCGUCGAUAUAGAAUUUUGCCAAUUGAGUCCUCAUUUAGAAUUCUCAUAUGAAAAUUGUCCAAAAAAUCAUAAAUUUAUUGCACUUUUAUCAAUUUAGUCUUAAACCUUUCAAUUCUGCUAGUUGAAUCAUAAAUCUUUUCAUUUUUUGUCAAUUGAAUCCACCUGACCAAUUUUGCUUAGAUUGGGCGAGUGUGGGCUGUCCCUCGCCCAAGGUUAACGACCACUGCCAGCCAUUGAUGAGGCUUGGUGGAGGUCAGUGUAGGGAAAAAGAAAGAAGAAAAAAAAAUUAAAAAAAGAAGAGAAGAGAAAAGGGGGAAAAAAAGAAGGAAAGAAGAAAAGAGAAAAAAAAAUCAAAUAAAAUUCAAAACAAUUUAAAUAUUAUUUAAAAUUAUCUAUGUCAAUGCUGAUCAUCCCACAUAGCAUAACCGACAUUUAUGUCAAUGAUUUCCAGUUAAAAUUAAUUAGAUGAACCGAAUUGACAAAAAGUGCAAUAAGUUUAAGACUUUUUGAAUAAUUUUUCUUAUUUUUCCGGUUAAUUUUCCCAUCUUUUUUCUUUUUGUCUUUUUUAAAAAAAUUGGCAAGAAAAGGAAAAAUAGAUUAUUCCGGCAAUCCAAUUUAUAGCUCAACAGAACGAUCCAUUUCACUUUUGGAACAAUUGCUCUAAUUUCACAAAAACAAUGUGCUCGAUUCUUAUAUGCACGCAAAGCUCCAUCAGCAACGUGCAGUUCCACAUUGCGACGAAUCGGUACCUCAUGAUUAUACUGAGCUCAUCAAACCUCGAGGAAUGACUCUUUUAAUGGGGCAGAAGAUCGCUUCAAGUGUCAUAAGUUGGCACAAAGGGACACUUAAGUACCAAAAUUUAUGAAAGUGAUACUUAAGUGCCAUAUUUGAAAAGAAAUGGAUCACUUAAGUGCCACUCCUCCCAAAAUCCGGCCAAAAUGCUGAUGUGCGCAAUUUCCGGUGAAGUAAAAAACAACGUCGUUUUGGUGCUAAGUUGUGGCCUACUCUUNNNNNNNNNNNNNNNNNNNNNNNNNNNNNNNNNNNNNNNNNNNNNNNNNNNNNNNNNNNNNNNNNNNNNNNNNNNNNNNNNNNNNNNNNNNNNNNNNNNNUAGUUGAUGGGAGUCUAUGGAUGGUUUUUUGAGAGAGGAUUUGAAAUCGGCCGACCCUCCCCCCCCCCCUUAAAUGUUUUGAAUAAAUUUAAUUUUAAAUUUAAUUUUAAAUUUAAUUUAAUUAAUAUUUAUAUUAUUUUUUUACCACGUCAGCACCAAAAUGACGCUAUUUUGUACUUGCUUCAUUGGAAAAUCGCCACAUCAGCAUUUUGGCCGAAUUUUGGCUGGAGUGGCACUUAAGUGAUCCAUUUUGCUCCGAUUUUGACAUUUAAGUAUCACUUUUGUAACUUUUGGCAUUUAAGUGUCCUUUGUGCCAACUUAUAGCACUCCAAGGUCCAUAUGUCCUUUUAGUGGGAGCCAUUUUUCCUGAGAUCCGAAACUCUAGUUCUUGGCAAAUGCUUGAUCUCGAAGGGAAUGGAGUUACUUCGGAAGGCUUCUUAAUCCGCUGGCGAAUUCUGAGGUUUGGGAGAUUUUGCCUCUUGAAGGUAAUCCGUCGUCGAGUUCAGCUCCUUCAAGUAUCAGUAAUCUCAUGGGGACUUGAAGCUUUGAAUUUGAGAGGCAAUAGCUUCUUUGCCCCUCGAACUCAAAGGUUUGCUGAGUUUGCACGGCGUUGCUUUGCAAGAGAGCAUGUUAUGUGGCGAUGUCGCUGAAGGGGUUUAGUAGUCCGGUUCUCUAAUUGUAUACAGUUCAAGAGAAGAUGAUGGAUUCUCAGUUCGUCUAUAACCACGUUACAUUAGAGGGCAUUCAUGCUGCUUCUGCUGGCGUUUGCUUACCCCCUUGAAGAUGUUAAUUAUUUCCUACUCACCACCUCUGUUCAAUCCUUGUCGUUCACGUCGCCACUAUUGCUGAGCCAUCGCUAUCGCCGAAGCAUAACUGGCGCUGGUUGCCUCACGGACACCAUCACUGAAUCAUUGUGCCAAAUCUACCGAGACUUUGCUGGAGUGUCACUGAGUAACCUUUGUUCUUUGUCCCGUCACCAUAAAUUGCCAUAGCACAAACCAGGUUGUUUCUUCAUGAUUGAACUCUAGUAUUAAAUUUUAGAUUCAUUCUAGAUUUUGCCUCGUGAUCUAUGCUUUGUUUUGCUGCCUUCUUAUGUGUUGUCUUACUGGAUCAUCGCCGAGUCCAUUGCCGUGAACGAGAUUGAUCGUUCUUUUGGUCCAGUAAGUCUGCCCAUCGUGCUGGCCACUCACUAUACAGUUCGUGACAGGACAAGCGUUAUUCUCGUCUUCAGCUUCGGCUUUUCAUACAACUUCUCUAGGAGAAAGGAGACAGUAGGUGACGAUCCCGUUAUUAAACAUGUCAGGAUGAGCAAAUUUCAACUUGGUCGAUGGGGAUCCUAUUGGUUUUGGUGGGGCGACGGGAGCGAGUCGUGGAUCGAUUCCUGCAAUCGAGCUUGAGACUGGCGGCAGCGAAGCGAAAAGAGCUUCGUCUAUGGAGGUUGUGCUUGCUGGGGAGAAGAUUGACUCCAUAAAAAGAAACUUACAGUCCUGUAACUGAAAUCCGGAGCCGAAGCAAUUGAGUGCGGUAUUUGUGAAUUUGAGGUGAUGGGGCUGGACUGCGUUAAGCCCAAGCGGAACGAAUGUGGCCGGACUCCAUAGGCGGAUCUUUCAUUGAUCAUUAUUGUUCUUUUUAUGCUCUAUUCUAUAUUAUUUAUUAAAAAAAUUAAAUGCAUAUCCAAUUAUCAGUAAAGAUUCAGAUGUCAAUAAGUGAUUAGCAAGACUCAAGUGUCAACAAGCGAUUUGUUAAUAACUUAUCUCAAAUCAACUCUCAUGUUUACUGCCUAGCCCUAUAUCUGCAUAUCAAAAUACACUACUUCACGAUAAAUUUGCAGUUUGGAUAAGUUGUUCCCUUUUCUGUCAUGCGUUAACAAUUUGAAAUGCUAUAGCAAAUGCAUAAAAAAAUUUCAAUCAAAGGAAAAAAUUACUGUACUUUUGGCGGGCAUUUUUUUUUUAGGUCAGAGAGGCAGGCAUGUUGCAAGGUUGUAGUCUUUUAUUUUUAUUUGUAUGUUACAUAUCGAUUGUGUUUACCUUGUCAUGAAAAGGAAUCUUUUAGGUAGCUAAGUUCCAAACAUAUUACAAAUUUAUAGUUCGUAGGAAAUACUGUACAAUCAUAUUUUAUCUCAUUUACAAGAUGCUAAGAAUUGUGAUCAACAAAUUAAUGAAGCAGUCGAACAUGACAUUUGCAUAGGUGAUUUUGCAAGGAGGAAGGCUUUAAUCAUAAGAACCAAGAGAAAGAGAAAAAGCAAAAAUCCAUUUAUCCUUAAAAAAGAAAAAGGUUAUUGAAAUUCUUUAAUGAUAAAUAUUUUUUGGGUAGUUCUACUACAGUAAUUAUUGAGAGACAAGAAUGCCCUCUAUUUUAUUUCCAAGCAUCCUUGAGAGGACUGCUUCAACUGCAUACCUAGGUCCUAGCGUAUUCAGCAAUCAAAUGAAGGCAGGUAACUUCUUUAUAAGUUGAACUUCUCCUCCUUGGAAUGGUUCAUUAGUCAAUGCUGCAAGGCCGAAAUUAAUUAAUUAAAAUUUAGAGCAAAAUGAUUUUUUACACCAUAAAUAAAACAAAAGGCACCUUUAUUUUGUAACCAGGAAACGUAUGCAUUAUUUUUGCAUGUCGCCAUAUCAAAUAAUAAUAAUAAUAAUAAUGAGAGUAUCACCGAUGUUGGCAAAAUAUACAUAUUUUGAUGUUAAAAAAAAGAAUAAAUAUAAUUAUUUUUAAAAUGAGAAAAGCAAACGAAGACAGUAUCUUCAGACAUGUAAAAAAAGCUGCAAGCGGUCGAUCAGUUAUCCACGGUAGUGCACGUGGCGUCUCUCUCUCAAAAUCAAAGGCACAAGACUUGCUGACAUGGCAACGAAUGCCUACUCAAUAAUUCUUUCAUCCGCGACAUUUGCUGUUUUGAUUGAAUAGAGAAAGCAAAAACAAUAAAUAAUAAUAAUAAUAAUAAUAAUAAUAAUAAUAAUAAUAAUAAUAAUAAUAAAAGAAGGUUCCAAAUUAGUAGCUUUAUGGCAAAGAGCCAAAGUAAAAAGGGGCAAAGCAAAUUGUGGAGAACAUGAAGCUGUUCAAUUGAUUAUGAGGGGUUCUAAAAGAAUGCAAUGUGAGCAUAUGUAACUCACGAUCAAAUCUUGAAUUUGAAUGAAUAAGUAACUUACUAAUACUAUUUAUGGCUCAUGAAGUUAUUUUAUAUCCACCGUCUUCUAUCAUCUAAUAAUGCCUAUCCAUAAAAAGUUACAGAUCUACAAAUAUUGAGUCCACUACAUGGUGGUUCCACGUCGGUGUUGAGGACCCUAACAAUUGGUGAAGGUUUCUCGUCGAUAGCAUGUGUCUAAUGCUAACUCUACUAGUGAAUUGUUGAUUCCCUUCAAGUCGUCCAUUAAUUGACAUUUCACGUUCUCACCAAAUUUAUUCUCAUCGAUUGAAUCCAUCACUUGUUGAUAAUAACAUUGUGAUUGAGUUCCUCUGCUACUCGCGCUUUGCCCAAAGAUUCUAAGGAAUUUGCCACCCUCUGACCCAAAUUUCACAUUAUUCACCGUUCAACAGAAUUAGGGCCACAAAGAAGAGGCACAUUGAAGGACACAAUGAGAUUGUAAAGUAAAUGCGAGCUAAAAGAAAUUACAUGGUUUGUAUAACAUUUUUCAGGGUGGCCACCUCUAAAUUCGGAGGGACCAUCGUUCAACAUAAUCGAAGUGAGGGUGGAGAUUUAUAUUAUUUGCCAGGGUAGGUAAAGGAACUUACAUUCAUCUCAAAAUACUAUUACGAUGAGAAAGAAUUCCCCCAUCCGAAUUUCCGAAGGGAACGAAUUUCACGUGCCUUCUUGACCCUGUCUAAUUUGAUAGGGAGGCCAAUUCUAAAAGUACCAGAGAGAGGCAGAUUUGGCAGUUUCAUUACCUAAUAAAGCUUGCAAUGAUUCCUAAUAAGGUUGACGACGAAUUGACCGGAGAUCAUAUAUACCGUCCAGACCCUCCUAAUCAUCAAAGAACAUCAUCACCCUUCAAUUUAACUAAACUUCAAAAGAUAAUAUCUUGUUAAACGCUCUUGAUGUUUAAUCUUGACUUCCAAGAAACCUUCACAUGCAGUCGCCCUCACAAAAUGAAUGAACAUCAACGUCCAAGUUCAGCAUACGACCAAAGAAGUCUAGCGCAUUGAUCAACUACGAUUUCGACAAUGUUGGGGCACGAAAGUACUCCAAAAUAAACUUAAAUCCCAAAUAACCAAAUUCUCAACUUCGACGAGGUCAGGGCACAAAAAUAUUCCAAAAUAAACUUAACCCAAAUAACCAAAUUCUCGACGUAAAUACUUGAAAAUAUCCACGGUGAAGUGUAUAAACAAGGAGGUUCAAGAGCCUCCGCCGAAACCUUGACUGUCUCUCUACAUCCUUUCCCAUCUCCAGAUCUUGGGCUAUAGGACGGCUAGGGCCAGCGCUGCUCGAGC